GGGUCGUUUGAACCUUCCGGAUCAGGGCAGACAGCGGGGCUACCAGGCUUGCUUUGGGUCUGAGUUCGCCCGCUAAGCAUCCCGCCUAGUUUGGAAUUACCGCCAUUCAAGGAAGGGGCUAUGGGCAGUGAGGGAACUGCCAGGGUCAUUCAACAAAUAACAAUAACCACCUCCUUGAUGACCACUUGUAGUGACCACGUGCCAGAUGCUGUUAUAAGCUCUUUAUGGGAAGAUCUAAAUACAACUUUUGAGCUCCUGCUGUGUGUGGAGCGGGAGGAUCCGGGAGCAAACAGCAGGAGGAGCCUGAAAUACCCCCAGGAGAGUGGUGCCCUUCCGUUGGGCUGAUCCCUGAGUGGUUUUGAUGAUCCCCAUGAGUUCCCUCCCUCCUCUAGGAAGCCUUCCCAGAUGCUCCAGUGGAGGC
rnacentral:lncRNA from 1 species